GCUCACAGUACAUAGUAAACAUAUCCCACAGUACAUAGUAAACAUAUCCCACAGUACAUAGUAAACAUAGCCCACAGUACAUAGUAAACAUAGCCCACAGUACAUAGUAAACAUAUCCCACAGUACAUAGUAAACAUAGCCCACAGUACAUAGUAAACAUAUCCCACAGUACAUAGUAAACAUAGCCCACAGUACAUAGUAAACAUAGCCCACAGUACAUAGUAAACAUGGCAAAGAUGCUUCAUUCCUUACAUAAGGGAGAGCAGGCCAUGUCAAGACUUUCUCAGUGACCUCAAGUACCCAAUAACUCUGUCUUGAAUGUUUUUUCGGGAUGCAUCAGUCUUGGUCACAGUAUUAAUGAUGAACACCUGGAGGUUCACUGGUCAGCCACAUUUGCCUCGGGAUCCAUCCCAGUUAGGGGAGGCAUGUAGUCUAGUGGUUAGAGCGUUGGGCCAGUAACCGGAAGGUUGUUGAAUCAAAUCCCUGAGCUGACAAGGUAAACAUCUGUUGUUCUGCCCCUGAACAAGGCAGUUAACCCACUGUUCCUAGGACAUCAUUGUAAAUAAUAAUUUGUUCUUAAAUGACUUGCCUCGUUAAAUAAAAAAAUAUAAGUGUCUGUCUCUGCAAAUAAUGACUGAUACUGAUUCACGUGCACCUUCAUCAGAUGAGCAGAAUGGUACUGCUCUGCGCCCCCAUCGAUUGUGGUGUCCUGUGAUAGAAAUGGUAGAUCAAUUAAGAAUUAAAAGUGACUCCAACACACAAAUUCUGCAUAAUGAAACAUGUUUUAAGAAUGUAGCAAAACCAACUGCUUUCAUGGGAACCAUGUCUUUUAUCGGUGUGGCCCGUUGUCCAGCCCUUUGUCCACCGAUCUCCACAGAUGGUUGUCUGCAUGGUCGUAUGCUCUGCAAAAGUAUCGAUUGUAUUCCACAGUAUGCCUACACAUAUAUAUGUUAAGAAUAUAAUUAAACAUUUUCAUUUGUCUUAGAAUAAAAACCUAAUCUAACUGCAGUUUCAGUCAGUAAUAUGCUACUGUCCAGUUACAGCUUCGUCUGACCAAGUGGAAAAAAAAAAAAGGUGUCUUUUUCGGGAGUGUGUGCAGGACAGAGAAAUAGCAAUACCUACACUAUUGUUUUACAUUCAACCACCUUCUUCAUCCUCAUCAUUCAGUUCAUUGAAAUACAAUUUUGAAUGCACAAUUAUGAGUUUAUAUUUGUUUAUACCACCCAUUCAUUGACAGCAUUAAUUCAGGUAGAGACACAUUAGACCUUGGGACCCAAAAGCAUAAUCAGUGCUCUAACUCCCCCUUGUGGUGGUCUGGAGCAAUGAUUCAGUAAAGCAAGGUAACAUACUAAACCACAAAUGACCUCUAAAUCCUGCGGCAUAAUCUCAAAACGUUUAAUUGAGGAACCACUGUAAAUCACACAGACACAGGACAGUCUAGGGAAAAGACACAGCUACAGAUGUAUAUUAGAGUUGAGGUUAGAAGAAUAAGUUACUGUAUUUGACCACACUCACAUACACACACGCACACACACAUUAAAUAGGUGAGAGUAACCUGUAGUAUCAUACCGUUAUUUUUCCUAAUCCUGGAUGAUACAGUAAAACACAUUACCAAAGAUCUUUAAUCAUGUGUGAUUCAGUACAUGUUCAGUGGUGGGAGAGAUCCUCUGGAGUUGCUGCAGUGUGUCUGGGGCUGCUGUGUGUUCUCCUACUGGCUGGGAUCAUAGGCCUGUCUGUCUACUGUAAGUUUAGUAUGUUUUUACUGAGACUUCAGUAGCCUACUUAAUCAUACUUACUCAUUAAUGGUGUUUCAGAUACAUGUUUCAUACUUUUCCUUUUUACAGAUGGAGUCAUUGAUCAUCACGACUCAACAGAGAUAGACCAGCUACAGACCAGUUACAACACCCUGACUGAAGAGAGAGACCAGCUACAGGACAGCAACAGCCUUCUGACUAAAGAGAGAGACCAGCUGAAGACCAGCUACAACAACCUGAUUAAAGUUAGAGACCAGCUCCAGACAGAGAUUUUCUUUGUGGGAGGCUUACCAAUCUCAGUGAGUAAACCUACAGUCAUACAUUUUCAUAAAUCCCACACACUUUAUCGUGUGUCUGAAUUUUUCAUUAAGUAUCCAGCGUGAUAAGUUGAAGGAAAUUCAUGUUUUCAUCUUGAAGAACAAACCUGUCCUGAGGGCUGGCAGAAGUUAAAAUCCAGUUGGUACUUCCUGUCUACUGAGACUAAAACCUGGAAGGAGAGCAGACCUGGUGAUUAGAUAGAGAGAGAGAUAGAUAUGAUCAUGCAUAUACUGUACAUACAUAUAUUUACUGUAAAUAUUUAUCUUUCUCAACGACAGACAUUUCUCUUCAACCUCAAGAAGAGAGUCUGGAUUGGUCUGACUGACUCUGUUAUUGAGGGGACCUGGAAUUGGGUGGACGGUACCCCACUGACCACAAGGUGAGAGAUACUAAUCUGUCAAUAAGGCUCCAUUCAACAUGUUUCUAUACAGGUUAUUGUCACUGAUGGCAGCAAUCAACAAAGUUAACUGUAAUAUGAAACAUGUCUGUAUAUUAUUUAGUAUUGUGAUGUUCUAACUGUGAUGUCUUAUAGUUUUUAACCCUGUAGGUACUGGUAUUAACCAUGAUAUCUGACUGUUUUAACCCUGUAGGUACUGGUAUUAACCAUGAUAUCUGACUGUUGUUAACCCUGUAGGUACUGGUAUUAACCAUGAUAUCUGACUGUUAUUAACCCUGUAGGUACUGGUAUUAACCAUGAUAUCUGACUGUGUUUAACCCUGUAGGUACUGGUAUUAACCAUGAUAUCUGACUGUGUUUAACCCUGUAGGUACUGGU